rnacentral:lncRNA from 1 species
UGUGAUCUUAAAUUAAAGAUAUCUCAAAUGUACCAAAAUAUUGUUUAAUCUUAUGGUCUUAAACAUGUUAUGUGGAAAGUGAUCAGAGAAAUAAAGACCGAAAUACCUUUUUGUACUGAUCAUAGAAAUUUGACAGCAAGAAUGAAAAGGGCAGAAUCCAAAGCUCAUUUUGAACGGCUAUCAAAUGAAGCUAUCAACAAAGCGUGAGUGCUUUACAUUUGUGUUUUCCUAGUUUACGAACAUAAGCAAUUUAUCCUGCUGUCUUAUUGUCAUUAACCAAGCAAUGCUAUACUUCUUGACAGCAGUAGUUACAGAUGAAGGACAGAUUAGGAGGAAGAAGAAGAAGUAUGAGAUAAGGAAGAGAG